rnacentral:rRNA from 1 species
UACGGGGGGAGCAAGCGUUGUUCGGAUUUACUGGGCGUAAAGGGCGCGUAGGCGGUCGUGACAAGUCACUUGUGAAAUCUCCGGGCUUAACUCGGAACGGUCAAGUGAUACUGUCGGACUAGAGUACAGAAGGGGCAACUGGAAUUCUCGGUGUAGCGGUGAAAUGCGUAGAUAUCGAGAGGAACACCUGCGGCGAAGGCGGGUGCUG